AAGACCUUGCGCUUUUGGAGCGGCCGAUGCCUGAUUAGCUUGUUGGUAAGGUAAAAGCUUACCAAGGCUUCGAUCAGUAGCUGGUCUGAGAGGACGGCCAGCCACACUGGGACUGAGACACGGCCCAGACUCCUACGGGAGGCAGCAGUGGGGAAUUUUGGACAAUGGGCGCAAGCCUGAUCCAGCCAUGCCGCGUGAGUGAAGAAGGCCUUCGGGUUGUAAAGCUCUUUCAGCCGGGAAGAAAAGGUUGCGAUUAAUAAUCGCAAUUUAUGACGGUACCGGGAGAAGAAGCACCGGCUAACUACGUGCCAGCAGCCGCGGUAAUACGUAGGGUGCGAGCGUUAAUCGGAAUUACUGGGCGUAAAGGGUGCGCAGGCGGUUUUGUAAGUCAGAUGUGAAAUCCCCGGGCUUAACCUGGGAACU
rnacentral:rRNA from 1 species